AACGAACGCUGGCGGCAGGCUUAACACAUGCAAGUCGAACGCGUGUAGCAAUACACGAGUGGCGCACGGGUGAGUAACGCGUGGAUAUCUGCCUUUUGGUUCGGAAUAACCCCGGGAAACUGGGGCUAAUACCGGAUGGUUCCUUCGGGAUAAAGAUUUAUCGCCAAAAGAUGAGUCCGCGUACGAUUAGCUAGUUGGUGAGGUAAUGGCUCACCAAGGCGACGAUCGUUAGCUGGUCUGAGAGGACGAUCAGCCACACUGGGACUGAGACACGGCCCAGGCUCCUACGGGAGGCAGCAGUGGGGAAUAUUGGACAAUGGGGGCAACCCUGAUCCAGCCAUGCCGCGUGAGUGAUGAAGGCCUUCGGGUUGUAAAGCUCUUUUGGCGGGGACGAUGAUGACGGUACCCGCAGAAUAAGCCCCGGCUAACUUCGUGCCAGCAGCCGCGGUAAGACGAAGGGGGCUAGCGUUGUUCGGAAUUACUGGGCGUAAAGCGCGUGUAGGCGGUUGUUCAAGUCGGGUGUGAAAGCCUUGAGCUCAACUCAAGAAAUGCACUCGGUACUGGAUGACUAGAGGACCGGAGAGGAUAGUGGAAUUCCCAGUGUAGUGGUGAAAUACGUAGAGAUUGGGAAGAACACCAGUGGCGAAGGCGGCUAUCUGGACGGUUUCUGACGCUAAGACGCGAAAGCGUGGGGAGCAAACAGG
rnacentral:rRNA from 1 species